ensembl:lncRNA novel transcript
GAGGAUUUAAUUCUGUAAAAGCAGUCUUCUCUGCAAAAUGGGAAUAGAACUGUCUAACUCACAUGGUUAUUGUUGGUGCUAGAACAACACCAACAACAUUACAUCCUGAGUCCCAGAACAUAAAUGCUACCCCGAAUGAACUUUUAUAGACUGUUUAUAGUCCAUGUGAUGACAUAAUAGAUGAUCUCCCUACCUGAUGUGACUGGAAUGGUAUGGAGACAGCCACUCUGCAAUGUUGACUCAAAGAUCCACUACAUUAUAAUGCUCCAAGAAGAUAAGGAACACAUGUAUUUUGUCUACUUCUGAAUAUCCAAGAUUUUACCGGGUACCUGACAUACAUGUGACAACGAAUUACAGGUGGAACAACACAUAGAACUGACUGUUUUUUUCACUAUUUCACAGAACUGGGAUGGCCGAGGAUUUGAUAAUGGGAUGUGAAUCAUCCCUUUGUCCAGCGUGUUCAUGAUGUCUAUGUUACCUGUCCAUUAGUCACUUCAUCGUUGUCCGGGUUGUCAGACUGAUUUCACCUUAUUGUAGUGAUUGUGAUUCUGUGGAGAAAGACUCUUAUUGGACAGCUCUCCUUUUUGAGCAAGGUUUUCAAUCUAUAAACUGGCUGCCAGUGGAUGAAGUACCCUGUCCCUCUCCCUGUCCAAUGUGUGAGGCCAGAGGUGAAGCAGGAUCUUCUGUAUUGUACAUGGUGCUAAAGACUACUCACUAGUAGGUAUUGUGUUGUGAGCUAAGUGACUCUCUAUAUGAUACUUUUGAACAUUUAUGGAAAAAUAAGGAAUAUAGUGAUGCUGGUUGGUUGCUCCUAAUGUUACUGGAUAUGUGGUGGAAAAAAAAGAAAUGAGUUCAGUUCAGGGAGUUGAAUUCCCAGGUGAAGAAUCACAAAUGACCUAAGAGCUUCCAGGUGUGCCCUGAAGGACAACCUUAUCUCCAAUAGUUACAGGGCUGAAAAUGCUGAAAGCUGAAUGCAGAACCUCAUCUGAUGAUUGGCUAAAUUACAGCACAAGUUGAAAUCCCAGCUUCCCAGGGUGUCUACUGUUAAAGUGAGGGCAUUGAUUGCGAAAGAAUGGGAUCCAUAAUUUGAGAUGGGGCCAUGUGGGAAGACCCUGAUGAACCUGGAGUUACUGAGCCCCUAAAUUCUGAUGAACCUUCUUUGCCAGAGGGAGAUGUCUCCCCAGCCCCAGUAGAAGAGGCCUCCCCAGCCCUACUGACAGCAGCCUCCCCAGUGUCAGAGGUAUUGGCCUGUCCACCUCUGUCUGAGGGGUUUAACCCUGCAUUGCUUGAGAAAAUGGUAAGGGCCUCCCCUGAGAGAACUGCCAUGCAAGACAAUUCUGAUUCUCCGCAGGACUCACCAUGACCACUCCUCUUUGCUUCUAGACCUAUGACUGGACUCAAGUCCCAGCAGGGCCCUAAAGGUGAGGUACAAAGUAUGACCCAUAACAGGGCGCACUGAAUUCCAAAACAACUACUUGAGGUUAUUAGUUCAUACAAGCAGAAAUCCAGGAAACAUGUAUGGGAAUUAUGGAUGUGGAACAUAUGUGGGAAUUAAGGGUGUGGAAAAAUGGUAGAAGGAACAUAAAAUUGGAUCAGGCUGAAUUUAUUGAUAUGGGCUCAGUAAGCAGAGAUUCUGCAUUCAAUAUUGUGGCUUGGCAGAAAGGGCUCUAACUGGUAGGGUGAAGCAAAGAUGAAAAGAUGGUCCACCAUAAAUGAAUUGGAAAUGCCUGACCUCCCUUAGUUUAAUAGAGAGGAAGAAAUUCAAAGGCUUAAGGAGAUUGGAAGAUUGGAGUGGAUUUGUCAUUUACCUUACUCACCUAUGCUGAAAGGGUCCAGAAGACAUACCUUUCACCAAUACUUUGAGAAAUACUUUGAAUAAAUAAAUAAAUAAAUGUUGAGGAGAUACCCAGCAUCUUUGUCAAGCUUUGUGGUUGCUCUUUUUUGUAGGCUCCACCUCACAAUAGGAACCACAGUCAUUCGACUGGAAAACCUAAAUGCAAUGGGAUUUUCUAGAUCCCAUUUUUUUUCUCCAGUUCUGGAAUGCAUAAUUAAAAUAGACAUAUUUAGCAGGCAGAAGUCCUCUAUUCAUCCCCUGACCUGUGAAGUGAGGGCUAUUAUGAUAGAAAAAGCCAAAUGGAAGUCAUUAGAACUACCUCUACUUAGAAAAAUAACAAAUCAGAAGCAAUUCUAGAUCCCAGAAUAUGGCAGGAAUCAAGUGAUGGUAGUGGCACUUAACCACCAAAGGCAAAGUGGGCAUGGUUAUUAUAAUGAACAGCAGAGUCAAAGCAGCAACCAGAAUAGUCUGACUCCAGGAGACGUAUGGUGUUGGCUAGUUAAUCAUGAUGUUUCUCAAAGUGAAAUAGAUAGGAAGCCUACCAAAUUCUUAAUUGAUCUGUAUAAGCAGAACAUUUCUAGGCCAAAAAACAAAAGUCUAACUCAAAUCAUAAAAACAGAGAGAUGUGGCCCCUCAAUCAAUUCCCAGAUGAGCCAGUUUACAGACCUGGAACCUUAUGAGUGAAGGGGAUGUUAGGACCCCUGGAAGAACCACAGCAUAAUACUAAAAAUUUAUACUGUUAAAUCUUUCUCCUAUCCUUCUUCAAAGGGACCUAUGGCCUUUUACAAGGAUAACUGUACACUGGGGAAAAGCAAAUAAUCAGACCUUUUGGGUCUACUGGACGCUGGAUUUGUCUAUCCACUGAUUACAGGAGACCUAAAACAUCACAGUGGUCUUCUCAUUAGAGUAGGGGCUUGUGGAAGUCAGAUGAUCAAUAAAGUUUUAGCUCAGAUUUGUCUCACAGUGAGUCCAAUGGGUCCUUGAACCUAUCCUGUGUUUUUCUUUUUCUCCAGUUCUGGAAUGCAUAAUUAAAAUAGACAUAUUUAGUAGCAGGCAGAAUUCCUCCAUUCAGUCUCUGACCUGUGAAGUGAGGGCUAUUAUGAUAGAAAAGGCCAAAUUGAAGUCAUUAGAACUACCUCUACUUAGAAAAAUAGCAAAUCAGAAGCAAUUCUACAUGCAGAAAUUAGUGCUACUCUCAGAAACUUAAAAGAUGCAGGCAUGGUGAUUUCCACCAUAUCUCCAUUCAACUAUCCUGUUUGGCCCAUGAUAGACAGGUCUUGGAGAAAGACAGUGGAUUAUCAUAAACCUAACCAAGUGGUGACUCCAAUUGCAGAUUCUGUACCAGAUAUGGUUCCAUUUAUUGAGAAAAUCAACUAUCUCCUGGCACUGAUAUGCAGCUAUUGAUCUGGGAAAUGGCUUUUUCAUCAUCCCUGUCCAUGGGAACUAGCAGAAGGGACCAGAAAAGCAGUUUGCUUUUAGUUGGCAAGGCCAGCAACAUACUUUCACUCUCCUACCUCAAGGGUAUGUCAACUCUACAGUUCUAUGUCAUAAUUUAGUUUUCAUGGAUCUUGAUCACCUUUCUCUCCCACAAGAUAUCACACUGGCCCAUUACAUUAAUCACAUUUUGCUGAUUGGACCUGGUGAAUGAGAAUUAGCAACCACUC